GAUGAAGAACGCAGUGAAAUGCGAUAACUAGUGUGAAUUGCAGAAUUCCGUGAAUCAUCGAGUCUUUGAACGCAUAUUGCGCCCCCUGGUAUUCCGGGGGGCAUGCCUGUCCGAGCGUCAUUGCUGCCCAUCAAGCACGGCUUGUGUGUUGGGUCGUCGUCCCCUCUCCGGGGGGGACGGGCCCCAAAGGCAGCGGCGGCACCGCGUCCGAUCCUCGAGCGUAUGGGGCUUUGUCACCCGCUCUGUAGGCCCGGCCGGCGCUUGCCGAACGCAAAUCAAUCUUUUUCCAGGUUGACCUCGGAUCAGGUAGGGAUACCCGCUGAACUUAAGCAUAUCAAUAAGCGGAGGA
rnacentral:misc_RNA from 1 species